AGCGCCAAGAGUUCUAUGUUCGAGAGUCUGGUUGGAAAGUAUUUUUUGCCUCGGGGAUCAGGGAUAGUCACACGGCGACCCCUAGUGUUACAGCUGGUUAAUGUGCCCCCAUUGGUGGAGAGAAUUCUGCAAGAAAAAUGGUAUGGACUUGACACAGAACAGAGACGUGACUGUCACUUUAAACCCAAUCUCGUGUUACUUCUAGCAGACAUACAGUACACUGGACACACUUAUACAAACCAAACCCAGUCCAGUUGACAUGUAUUCAAUUAAUUUCAAUAUUAUCUCUUAUGCAUGUAGUUUCACUCACUGGAUAAAAAUAUUUCAGAGAUUUUGUUUCUCUUUUCUAACAUAUUUACUUUCCCUUCACUGCUUUUCUCAGGAAAUGUGGUAAAACAAAACGCAAACACCUACCCAGGUCUUUAAUUCCAUAGUUUAUCUGCAUGGACCAGUUGUGUUGUCACUCGUCUUAAUAUAGUCUUGUGAUCUUCAUCAUUUUUCAUUUACUCUGUCUAAUCAUCACAUCAACUUACAAACUCUGUUUCUGUCAUAUUGCCUUCUAUACUGAUAAACCCCAUCCAAGUCUAUGUUUUAUGUGAUAUGAAUAUUUCCUUUGUUUGCACAUUAUUUUACACUCAUUCCUUUAUAUUUUGUCAAGGGAUCAAGGCUGGGGAAUGGGGCACAUUCCUUCACAGCAAGAACCAGGCCCUCUCUGAAGGCGUUGAAGACCCGUUGUUCUCCACUGUGUUUUGGAUUUUCUCAGAUUUCCUGGAGAUUCGCAAGGAGAUUGAAGAAGAGACUGAACGUAGCUUGGAAGGCAACAAGGUUUGAAUAAAUAGUUGUCGGUAAAUAUGGCUUAUCU